UAUUUGGCCAUCUUUUCUUGUUAAACAAGUCUAUUUUCCCAACACAGUUUUGAUAAACUAUAAAUAUAAGUCAUCAAUUAACGAGCAAAUUUCACCAGGAACCCAUUCUUUGCUUUGCUUUUUCUUCUAGUUUUCUUAUUGGCUUUUUAGUUAAAUUUUAGUUACUGAUGCAAUGGAAGUAGAAAAAGGACAUAGCAACUCCACCUCUAACUUCUUGUGGAUGGCCCAAAUGGAAGAGGUCGAAGGACGACGGUAGCUUUUUAAGCAAUUUGAAGGAGCAAUUCCACGAUUUUGUGAAUACCCCUAUGGCUGAUCACAAGCUUUGCUUCAAAAAUACUAUUGACAAGAUGGUUGGAAAUUUUCGAAAGGAGAUUAAUGGGUUUAAAGGUGAGGAAAAUUCUGUGACCCUCCAAUCGCUGCCUGCAGAGGAGAAGGAGAAUCAGUAGAACUUCGGACGUGGCACGUGCAGAUUUUAAUCAAAUUCUAUUUAGCAUUCUUGUUCUUAGUUUUUUUUAUUUUUUUAUUUUUUUUAGUCUCUCCCCUUUUAUUCCCUCUUCGUUGGAGCUACUCCACAUCUGGGAGGUGCUGACUCUAAGCAACCCCUCUUGUCUUCUUGUUCUUAGUUACAUGAAAAGUUUGCAAGUUUUAGUAGUCAA